rnacentral:piRNA from 1 species
UCUCCCACCCGAGAUGCAUAACUGACUCG